rnacentral:rRNA from 1 species
UACGGGGGGAGCAAACGUUGUUCGGAAUCACUGGGCGUAAAGGGCGCGUAGGCGGCUAGGUAAGUGGGGUGUUAAAUCUCCCGGCUCAACCGGGAACCUGCACCUCAUACUGCUUAGCUUGAGUACAGCAGAGGAGACUGGAAUUCCCGGUGUAGCGGUGAAAUGCGUAGAUAUCAAGAGGAACACCUGCGGCGAAGGCGGGUUGCUGGGCUGACACUGACGCUGAGGCGCGAAAGCUAGGGGAGCGAACGGG